rnacentral:SRP_RNA from 1 species
GCUGGGCGUGGUGGCGCGUGCCUGUAGUCCCAGCUACUCAGGAGGCUGAGGCGUAAGAAUUGCUUGAACCCAGGAGGCAGAGGUUGCAGUGAGCUGAGAUCAUGCCACUGCACUCCAGCCUGGGUGACAGAGUGAGACUCUGUCUCAA